UACGUAGGGGGCAAGCGUUGUCCGGAUUUAUUGGGCGUAAAGAGCGUGUAGGCGGCCAUGUAGGUCCGUUGUGAAAACUCGAGGCUCAACCUCGAGACGCCGAUGGAAACCAUGUGGCUAGAGUCCGGAAGAGGAGAGUGGAAUUCCUGGUGUAGCGGUGAAAUGCGCAGAUAUCAGGAAGAACACCCGUGGCUAAGGCGGCUCUCUAGUACGGUACUGACGCUGAGACGCGAAAGCGUGGGGAGCGAACCGG
rnacentral:rRNA from 1 species